UCCACGCCCUAAACGAUGUACACUAGUUGUUGCCAUGCUAGUCAUGGCAGUAAUGCAGCUAACGCAUUAAGUGUACCGCCUGGGGAGUACGGUCGCAAGAUUAAAACUCAAAGGAAUAGACGGGGACCCGCACAAGCGGUGGAGCAUGUGGUUUAAUUCGAAAAUACGCGAAGAACCUUACCUAGGCUUGAUAUCCUUGGAAUCUCUUGGAAACAAGAGAGUGCUAGUUUACA
rnacentral:rRNA from 1 species